rnacentral:rRNA from 1 species
UAAGGAAUAUUGGUCAAUGGAGGCAACUCUGAACCAGCCAUGCCGCGUGCAGGAAGACAGCCCUCUGGGUCGUAAACUGCUUUUACUCGGGAAUAAACCUAUCUACGUGUAGAUAGCUGAAUGUACCGAAGGAAUAAGGAUCGGCUAACUCCGUGCCAGCAGCCGCGGUAAUACGGAGGAUCCAAGCGUUAUCCGGAUUUAUUGGGUUUAAAGGGUGCGUAGGCGGCCUGUUAAGUCAGGGGUGAAAGACGGUAGCUCAACUAUCGCAGUGCCCUUGAUACUGAUGGGCUUGAAUAAACUAGAAGUAGGCGGAAUGUGACAAGUAGCGGUGAAAUGCAUAGAUAUGUCACAGAACACCGAUUGCGAAGGCAGCUUACUAUGGUUUCAUUGACGCUGAGGCACGAAAGCGUGGGGAUCAAACA